CACCAAACUUUUGGCGUUGUUCCAAUUUGAUCACCCAAAAUUUUUUAUUCCCGGAAAAAACAAAGAGCUCUCACUUUGGCGAAGAGUUAAUGGAGUCCUAACUCAGUCACUCUCAGCAAAGUACUAAUAAAACUGGGAUUCAUUCAUUAAUGUCAAAAUCAGGAACUUGAAUACCGGGAUUCGUAUAUUCAAUUCUUAACGGUAUGCAUUUCUUUCUUAUUUGUUCUCCAAUAACAAGUAUCUUGUCAAUUGUGUUUCGUUUGGUGGGUUCUUUUUCUUUCCUUUUUUGUUCAUAUUUACUUAUAUUUUUGUUAUUUUUUGGAGAUUGUUGGGGGUAUGAGAAGUUCCAGACCUGUAGUUCAUUCGUGGUAUUUUUAUUUAUUUUUUUAUCAACCUGUUUGCACUUCUGCUAUAGCCUACCUAGGUUUUCAUUGUCGUCUUAGUUUUUGUCCUUGAAACUUAUUUUGGAUAUGUUGAUAAUAAUUAUUUAACCUCAGUUUAUGAAUUAAAUCCUGUUAUGCGUUUAUAAAAUCCCAGAAGCAUGAUCAAGAUUUGAUUAGAAUGCUUAGCUGAGUGCUUAAUUUGAUUGGUUGAUCUUAAAAUCUUAGGGCCUAUUCUCUUUGUUGUUUUCAAAUCAUUUUCAGUUUUUAAUUUUCGAAUACACCAAAAACAUGUUUAUUUACCUAUUUUCAGAAAUGAAUUUUCGAAAACAUGGAAAAAAAUUACGAAGAAAAUGCAAAACGGCCUUUUAGUCAUUUUGGCUAUUUUUAGUAGAAAUCAAGCCAAAACUUCAAAAUACCGAAAAUGCGGUGUUUUUGCCAAUAGCAGGAUAACUCAGUUGGUUGAGUCAUGGAUUUUCUUAAGGUCACAAGUUCAAUUCCGUUUCACCGCAAUUUAAUACAAAGGGAUUUUCUUUCUAUAUGCACAGUACAAGAAAUUUCAAUUAAAUUCCGCGUUUUUUUAGCCAAUAGCGGGAUAGCUCAGUUGGUAGAGUUACGGAUUUUGAGAUGGUCACGAGUUUGAUUCCACCAACCUAUUUUCAAUACGAAGGAUUUUUAUUAUUAUUAUUUUUUUAAUAUGCAUGGUACAAAAAUCUUUUAUACUUGGUUUAAUGCAGUGGCUAAAAAUCCUGUUGUAGGGUUGUCUAAUUUCUUGUUGUUCCUUUCAUGCUUAAAGUGAUUGUAUACCUCCCGUGUACUCUCUUUUAAGGAAUAAAAUUCUCUAAUUACCUAUAAAAAAAAAAAAAAAAAAAAAAUCUUUCAAAUAAAUUAGUAGGUGGCUGAGAUUCAAACCUAGGUCACCAGCAUGGAGUUUUAAUGUCUUUACCACUAUGGCAAUCGCUUUUGCUUUGUUGUAUAAGUAAAUAAGCUAUAUAUAUAUUGAAUAAUUGCUUUUUCAGUUUUUCAAUACUAAUGUAAACGCGUUUUUCAAUUUUUUAUUUUUGAAAACAAUUUUUCAAAAUGGCAAAAAGAAAUCAUUUUCAACAAUCUCAAAACACAAAAUCCAAUUUGAAUUUAAAACUCAAAACUAAAAAUUGAAACACGAAGAGAAAAACCACUGAGUUUCUAGGGAAAAAAAGGUAAAUGUGUUGUUUCUACAUUUAUGAGUUGUUUUGAUUGCAGUGGGGGUUUUUUUGGCAUUAACAUCUUGUAAGUUGUAUAUCAUAGCCUCAGGGCUGGUAGUGAAACAGCAAAUGAAUUCAGCGAUUUCUCCAUUAGUUGAAAAAUGUAGCAUGGCUGUGGAAUUGACAAAAGUUCAUGUAUUUUACAUAGGAAUUGUCUUUGAAAUUAGCUUGAGUUUCCUAUUAUGUACUCUGGUAAAUGCAAGAACUGUACUUCUGUUAAAACAUGCCAAAACUCUUCCAAAGUCUGUAUGUGAUUAGUAUUCUUGAAAACUGGGAGUUAUCUAAGUCUAAUAAAAGAAAUUACAUUCCUUUUAAAAAUUCUACAACUGAAGCUUUGGAGGGAUUAUGCCAAGUGGUCGACCAAGUCACUAUCAGUAUAGUAUCAAUGGAAUGUCAAAAUUCUAGUUGAAUUCAUUAUAUCCAUCCUAAUGCUAGUGAGGAAUGACAUAUAACAUGUGUAGAAGCAGUGUUCUUUAAAAAUCUGGAGCAGAUUGUAUGAAAGGAACAUUAGUUCUCUGAGCAUCUGUUUUCUUCUAAUAAAUAUCUUGUCACAACGGCAAGAUGUAUAAAUGAAGAAAAAUGACAUUAAUCUUGUAUCAAAGUUUUAGAGAUUUUUCAGUCUUGAUGUCUUAAAGUUUUCAACAUCAAAAGAAGAAGGGGUGGAUCAAAACUAACAUGUCCUGUUGUAGUCGCUGGGUAUAAAUUUUUCAGUAACUGAAUGAGUUGGCGAAUAAAGUGUCUGUCUAAGAUUUUGCCAACUCUGGAAAUAAGGUUCUCUUUGAGGAGUUAUAAUGCCCAAUGGACCACUCUUACUCGGGAAAAUGUUUGCAGAUAUAUAUAAAAUUUUCAUAACGUUAGACAUGAUAAAUUAUAGAAGAUUCAAGGUUGAAGAUUAGGAAAAGGAAAUUUUAGAAUCACUUGUAAGUUCUCUUAACAUUCCAAAAGAAGAAAAGAUGGGCUGGGGUCAGUCUUGAGAAUUUGAAACCAUGAAAUUUGCUAUGCCUUGCAUCUGUUCAAUAGUAGAUGAUAUUCUUGUGGAUAAGAGGACCUCAGAAAUUUGGUAUGCUAGAAUAAAUUUCAAAAGCGUAGCUGAAUAAGUCAACUUUCUACGAGUUAAUUCAUGAUUAUAAUAACCCAAUUUUCUUUUCUGGUCAUUAUUUCAAUAAAUGUAAGAAAUAAGAUCCACUAAUUUUUUAAGUAGAAAAGCAAAAAGAUAAAAACAAUUACAUAACCCUGCAUCAUGCCUCCAUUCUCUGCUAGAAUCUCCUUACAAUAGAAUACAAAAAAUUUUAACGACAAUGUCGAAAACUUUUCGAGUAUAAGAAAAUGACAGUGGUAAUGUGGAAUUCCUUUAGUCACCGUUGUUGAUGCAAGAUCCCAUAAAUUUCUCCGUUCCCGUAAAAUUAUGUUGCUUUUAGUUAUACAUGCUUUCUUGAAUCAUUAUUCGUGCUCCAAAAGUUGAUCCAUUCUGCUAUAACUAAAAUUAGAAAAUAAAACAUAAUGAUGGUUCCUCCCAUCUUUUUUCCCCCUAUCUAAUUUUCUUCCACAAUAAAUUUCCCAAAAGUCGUUUCAACCAGGGAGUCACCUUCUGGUUAAUCUCUAAAAUAUAAUUCUGAAGGAAGACCUUAUGAGAAGAAAUGAGUUAUAACUAUAAGUAACAAAUAUUCAAACAGUUGAAUAAUAUGACUUGCAAUCACACUCCACCAUCCCCAAAGAAAAAUGAAAUGAAAGAAUAAAAAGACCACUCCUACUGGGAUGAAGACUGAAGUUCAUGCAGCUAACUGAAUAUUUUAUUGGCUUUUAGAUUGUUUUGACAUUAUAUUAUGGUUUAUCCACGUAUUUCUGCCUGUGAAAUAAAACUACGUUAGAUACAAUUUUAGCAUGGUUUCCCAGAGUCUGAGGAGAAAAAUAACUUCAAUGGUUCUGAAAAUGUACAGUACCUUUUCUUUCAGAAAUUGAAAGAUAAAAAUUAUGCUUUUCUGGCUCUUAUAUCAUCUGUACUAAUUUGUUUCAUGCACACAUAGUUAUUCAAAUUGAUUUUUAUUUUUAUUUUUAUUUUUUGCUUUGUAGGUUUAAAUUGACUAUCAUCAUGAUGUAUAAAAUGUUGGCUCCAUUUGGCCUUCUAUGUUAAUUUUUUUGAAUCUAGAACGAAAAAUAUUCCACUUCUGUGUUAAUGAUGUAGAGAAACAUUAUGAUCCUAUCUGAUACCAAAACAUCUCGACACAUGGUUUAUUCUGGCAAGAAGUAUCACAGAAAAGUUCCAAAGAGAAUUUCCAAGGCUGAGAGAAAGAAAUCAAAGUGCGAACAUCUGAAUGAAAUCUUUCUUUCUUUAUCUAAUGAUUUAGGUAUUUUCCAGAUGCUCAAAUGAUUCUACUUCAUAUAUAACAUUUUUGCCUUGUAACAAAAUUUCCAUCAAGUUAUGGCUCCAUUAACUGAACGACCUUAAAUGACAUCAUUUUUACAUAAUUAUCUAUUCUGAUCAAUGGUGAGGCCUCUGUAUUGGACAGAGCGAUUUGUAUGCAGGGCAGUCCUGGGCACAGGCAAAUGAGGCCUGUGCCUCAGGCCCAAAACCACAAAGGGCCUAUUUUGGCCCAAAGUUUAUUAUUAUUAUUAUUAAAGAAGGAAAAGGAAAAGGAAAAUGAAAAUAGUUUUUUCAUUAAUUGUGAGAUGAUUGAGAUAUUUGUUUGUUGUUUUAAUCUUAAGUUUUAAGUUAACAAUAUGUUGUAUAAUAUAUCGUUGAAUUUUACAUUUACGUUGAUUUUGGAGGCCUAAUUUUUGGAUUUCGCCUCGGGCUCCGACAAUCACAGGACCGGCCCUAUUUGUAUGGUGAAGAACACACUAGAUGAGAUCAACUGUCUGAAAAGAAAAUGCUGCAUGCUGUCUGAAUCUCAAUAUGUAAGUCCACUGACAUCAAGUUUUCACAUUCUGUGUCGAUAACUUUUUAUGACAUGCAGUAUAACAACUGAACCUAAGUUAAUUAAUGUUUUCUGAUAAUAACUUUUAUGUCAAUUCAUAAUGUGGCAAUUGAGAGUUCUAUAAUCCAGUCUCGGUAUAUGCCCUGGAAAAAGGGUGUAUGUUUGGGGAAAAAAAAAAAAAGAAGGAAUUUGAGAAAGAGGAUUUGAGCAUAGUUGAUCAAAUCUUUGAGAUUUUUAAAAUUUCAAAUUCCUAUGAUUUUCCAAUCACUAAACUAAUUCUAAUCUUGUAAAUAAAUUUUGAUUCCCAAUGUGUUGUUUGGUGUAAUUUACUAAUUUUCUUCAGAAACAGCACGCUGUUAAGUGGAAAAGCACAAAAAUUAUAAAUGAAAAGAAAAAUUUUGCAGCAUUAUUUUAGAUCUACUACAAUAGCCAGGUUCUUUUAGCUGAUCACUGGAACUCUAAAUUUAGCACACGCUAAAUUUCUUUAUUGACAGGUGAGCAUGGAGAAAAAGUAACUACAAGAUGAGAAUUCGGCUCUGGAUGCUCAAAUUGGGAAACUGCAAUGUGAACUCAAGGUGAGGGUCUGGUCUGCAACUCGACCUGAAUGUAGCCCCACCUGAAUGUGAACUUCAAGAACUGGAAUCGCGUAUUGGUGAUGAUCAUCAUCAUAGAUUGCCUUGUGUGGAACCAGUUGUUGAUCCUUUAUAUCUCGUCCCUGUCUGCUCAAAUACUCGAGCUUAUCAAGAGCCUGCUAUGGCAGAACUUGCAGGUAAGCCUAACCACAUCCUAGAUAUCCUACUGCAGCAGACAUAUGGCCAUCCGAUUUCUUGAAAAUCAACUGGAGUUAGGCGUGGAAUUUGGAUAAAAGUGGAUGUACAGGACAGCAGGAGGAGGGCUUUUUGACAAUGGAAACUAUAUAAACUACAGUUAUACUCAAGUCUAGUCUCCUAACAAACACAUCUUUCAUCACCUAUCUGUACAUACAUUCGACCUUUUUCCUAAUGUAUAGUUAGAGAUGAUGGAUUUUACCUUAAUUUUAAGGAAGAAUGGUUCUAAAUCUUUGGGGAAAUAAUAUCAUUUGUCCUCAAGAUAUUGUUCCUAUAGCAAGUUGGUUGUCAACCUCUUUUAUAAUAUAGUUGCACACACCAUUCCCACUAUAGUAAGUAUUGAAAUAUUUUAAAUCAUCGUGUGAUCCCCACGAAAACGCGUCGACUUCAAAGUUCUAGGCAGUUUGUUUAAGUUGGGAAGCUAUCUUGUUUUGUAAAGUUGAACAUUUGAGCGUUAUGAUACACGAUGAUUCAAUGGAGGUUUAGACAAUUUUUAUUGUUAAUUACUCAGUGUACAACUUUAGGUUGAUGAUCAACUUGCUCCCUUUCAAAAGUUGGUGAUGAACUAGAACUAUGGUAUGUAAAAGAUUAUAAUUAGGUGAAAAUUGAACUGAAAUAGUAUAGCUCUACAAUGUUUUUAUAUAAGUCAAAUUUAAGUAACGC
rnacentral:lncRNA from 1 species